rnacentral:rRNA from 1 species
AGUGAACGCUGGCGGUAGGCCUAACACAUGCCAGUCGAACGGCAGCACAGUAAGAGCUUGCUCUUACGGGUGGCGAGUGGCGGACGGGUGAGGAAUACAUCGGAAUCUACUUUUUCGUGGGGGAUAACGUAGGGAAACUUACGCUAAUACCGCAUACGACCUACGGGUGAAAGCAGGGGAUCUUUGGACCUUGCGCGAUUGAAUGAGCCGAUGUCGGAUUAGCUAGUUGGCGGGGUAAAGGCCCACCAAGGCGACGAUCCGUAGCUGGUCUGAGAGGAUGAUCAGCCACACUGGAACUGAGACACGGUCCAGACUCCUACGGGAGGCAGCAGUGGGGAAUAUUGGACAAUGGGCGCAAGCCUGAUCCAGCCAUACCGCGUGGGUGAAGAAGGCCUUCGGGUUGUAAAGCCCUUUUGUUGGGAAAGAAAAGCAGCAGGUUAAUACCCCGCUGUUCUGACGGUACCCAAAGAAUAAGCACCGGCUAACUUCGUG